UACGGGGGGGGCAAGCGUUGUUCGGAAUUACUGGGCGUAAAGGGCGCGUAGGCGGCCUGCUAAGUCGGAUGUGAAAUCCCUCGGCUCAACCGAGGAACUGCAUCCGAUACUGGCGGGCUUGAAUCCGGGAGAGGGUCGCGGAAUUCCCGGUGUAGAGGUGAAAUUCGUAGAUAUCGGGUGGAACACCAGUGGCGAAGGCGGCGACCUGGGCAGAUACUGACGCUGAGGUGCGAAAGCGUGGGGAGCAAACAGG
rnacentral:rRNA from 1 species